rnacentral:rRNA from 1 species
CUACGGGGUGCUGCAGUGGGGAAUAUUGCACAAUGGGCGCAAGCCUGAUGCAGCCAUGCCGCGUGUAUGAAGAAGGCCUUCGGGUUGUAAAGUACUUUCAGCGGGGAGGAAGGGAGUAAAGUUAAUACCUUUGCUCAUUGACGUUACCCGCAGAAGCAGCACCGGCUAACUCCGUGCCAGCAGCCGCGGUAAUACGGAGGGUGCAAGCGUUAAUCGGAAUGACUGGGCGUAAAGCGCACGCAGGCGGUUUGUUAAGUCAGAUGUGAAAUCCCCGGGCUCAACCUGGGAACUGCAUCUGAUACUGGCAAGCUUGAGUGUCGUAGAGGGGGGUAGAAUUCCAGGUGUAGCGGUGAAAUGCGUAGAGAUCUGGAGGAAUACCGGUGGCGAAGGCGGCCCCCUGGACGAAGACUGACGCUCAGGUGCGAAAGCGUGGGGAGCAAACAGGAUUAGAUACCCCGGUAGUC